CAUUCAUUGUUUAUUUGACAGGGAGAGGUUGGUGCGAUGGUAUCUCUUAAAACCAUCUGUGAGAUUUAUCUGUGAUUUGUGGGAAUGCUAACACUUUCUGAGGCAGUCACUCCCCCAACAUUAGAUGCAGGGGGGGCCCUAAUCAGUCACUGUUCAUCACCAACUUCCUCAAACAGUCCAUAAAGAUGUCAGCAAAAAGCAAAGAGCAGCAACUCCCUGAUAUAUGCCGGUUAAGCUUGUUUGUAAAAGCAGCUUAUGCUUCUUCCUCUUAGAGCCACUCAGGAUCAGCUAAAGAAAAAAUGUGCCUCUGCCAGGCUUCUCCACGUUUAUUGAGGAAACGGUCAGUUAGUGAGAAGUAUCCCAUUUUACCAUGACUGCCUUUGAACCAGAGUAACCCAGAAGAAAAGGAUGACAUCCAUGGGAAACGAGGAUGAGGAUGAAAACGGUGUGAAUCAUCUGCCGUGACCUUCGCAAUCGCCAGAUCUCAGCGCAGCAGAACACCCGUGGGAGAUUUUGGACCAAUUUUAUUUUAAACCGCCGCCAUCGCUGAAACACAAAACGACGAGUUGUUCUUUAUGCCUCCACAGAAUUGAUGCCAAGCUGCACUGAAGCUGUUCUGGUGUUACAUGUUUAUUUAAUAAAGCUGCUACAAUAAUUA